rnacentral:ncRNA from 1 species
AAGAUUAAGACAUGCAAGUCUUGGUAGAGUGAAACUGUGAAUGGCUCUUUAAAUCAGUUAUGGUUCUCGAUAACUGUGGCAUUUAUUAGGCUAAGAUAUGCCAACAAGUGCUGACCUUCGGGCACACAUCCAUUUAUCAGACCCAAAACCCAUCCGGGGUGCUCUCGGGUGCAUCGGGCGCUUUUGGUGACCCUUCGUGGCACUAGCAUCUCAUUCAAAUGUCUCCUCUAUCAACUUUCAAUGGUAGUUUCUGUGCCUACUAUGGUGACCAAAGAUAACAUGGAAUCUGGGUUUGAUUCCGGAGCAGGAGCCUGGGAAAUGGCUACCACAGCCAAGGAAGGCAGCAGGCACACACAUUAUCCACUCCCGAAUUGUGUAGGUUUAGUGA